UCCUCUACAAGUGGGGAGCUUCAAAGACUGCAUCUCGAACUCCGGGUGUUUGAUAUGUCCCUACGUGACGCUGCUUUUCUCCGCUUGUUAGCAGAUACGGGUCUGAGGGACCUGCAGCCCCAGCCCUCCGAGGUCUGGAUCCACAUACUGAGUAGCAGCUCAAUCGGCAUUUCCAGGAAGUCAGACACCGGAAGCUCCCUUAGAGUUCCCAGAUUCGGUCCACACUGCCAUCGCCCAGCCAGUCACUCAUGCUACAAAUGCGGGACCAAUCCUUACCACUUCCUUCUCUCUCAAGCUCUACAUCUGAGGAAUCCACUUACUGUUGUUUAUCCCACCAUUCUGCAUAUUUCCGAAAUCCUCUUCAGGGGUCAUUUGUUUUCUUGUUUCUCACCUGGAUGGGCUCACGGCACCCCUCCUUUGUUCAAGCCAGUAAUUCCAUGUGGACGUCGGUAUCUACCUGUUAUUGCUGAACUGAGUGGCCAUCCUGCCCCCAGUCCUUAAUACCAUACAACUUGGAAGAGUUCGGUGCAAACAAGUGAGGCGCAAUCUAUCCAUACAAAGUGGCAGGGUUACAGACUUUUCCAUCCCUUCAUCCUUGCGCAAAACCUGAAGCCAGAGCUUCCUGGUGGAAAAUUCGCUGCUGGUCAUAGUCAUGAAUGCAUUGCCCUACACUGAGAGUCUAAGCAAGGAGCGCAGGUCAGAGAAGAGGACUCCUAACAAAGAGAUGGCCCACACAACCCACUUGUUCUUUUCCCAUCAUUCUGCAAAGAGUGAAUGGAGAUCUCUCUGCGGGAGAAGACUUCUAUGUCUGCAUUACCACCGCCAUCAGAAGCAACGGCACAGCGCUCACAUUGGACACAGAGCGGUCCUGACAGAGCACAACCUUCCUACCCUCACCUUGAACAACUUUUCUUUUCGUUUGCCAAAUAACCCCUUACUCCCUUACGCUCUUCUUUCCAGAAGCUUCUUGGUACAGGCUGGGGUCUUUUGUUUGUUUUUUCUACCCAUGGGCCCUAAAAUCCCAACAUCACCUUUUAACUCCAAAAUAUCCUCUAGGAUCUUGAGUCACUGCGACUUCCCGGAAGUCUGACCUCUGCAGUAGCUGCUGCGCACCAGGUCCCUCUCCUGUUCACACUGCACAUUCACUGGAUCCACUCCCCUUGCUGCUCCGAGGACAAGUCUGGAAGGUCCUGUCCUAGGGACAUGCGCCAGGCUCUUUUUCGCACCGGAAUAUUCUUUCCUUAAGUCACCUUCUCAGCGAAGCCGCCCCACAAAUCUACCACACUUGAGCCCCCCCCCCACUCUCUCAUGAUUCCACCUCCUGUCUUUCCCCUGAUACGCAUUUAGCACACCGGAACACACAAUAUACUUUCCUCUUGAUAACUUUAUUGUAUUUACUGGUUUAUGUCAUAAUUUCAAGCCCACUAGAACGUGACCUUCACAUGUGGGUUUCUGUUUUGCUUUUUCUUCUGCCAGUCACUGAAGUGUUCCAAAAGCCUGAAAGGGGAACUGUCUUUCAGAUGAAUGAACUACUUAAGAAGCAAG
rnacentral:lncRNA from 1 species